GCGCUGCAGCCGCAAGCGGCCCUCCCUGGGCUGCAGCAUCCCCCGCCAGCGGCGUGUGUCCAGCACCACCACGCGGCCCCGGCCGCACCCGCACCGGGCAGGGGGUGAGAGCCGGGGCACAGCGAGCCCAGGAACCGGGGUGUCGGCCCCCACCCCGAGAUCAUAGAAUCAGCUGGGUUGGAAAGGACCAUCUGGCAACAAGGCUCUCGGCUGCCGCAGCACGGAUUAUCCAGGUCCUGAUAGGGAAGUGGAAAGUACAGCCCAAGACGCACAUGCAUACCGGGAAAUUAAUUCAGCAGUAUAGGCCUGGGAGGAGAGCAGUCAUCCCACACGGCUGCUGCCAGCGCUGGUUGAAGACAGGUGAGGAUCCCAUCAGACUGUCAGCAGAAUGAGAACCGUAGCUGCUCUCAGAGCCAUUGGGGCUUUGUGGCAUCCCAGCUUCACUCAUGCCUGACAUUGGUUCCUCAAAGACAUCACUGCCUAGGACCCCAUGGCCAUGUACAUUACCCUCCUCAUUUUCCUGUGGCUCCAUUUUCACCUGUGCCAAGUUCCAGAGUGGGGAAGCAUUCACCUCAGCCCCUAGAAAAAGAAAAAGCACAUGGUAAUAACUAAGUAAAAAGAUAAAUCAUAAACAGCAUGCAGAUACAAGGGACAGCAGCGCUGAUAAAGACGGAGCAAAAGCAAAGCCACAGGUGAACUAGGCUGGGGGGAAAACCAACAAAAUGCAACAAGCACUGUGAUUAAUUUAAAAAAAAAACCUGUUGGCUUUUUUGUUCUAACAGCCCAGCAACUGCCACUCUAAAAAACAUCCUAUCCUUUCACUGCAAGCCUCCAGGUCAUUUUCUCCAUGAGAAACAACUUCAUAUGACUCUCCAGAAGGAGUACCUAAGCAGCAGUGAGUUCACCAACAGCACAUGAACU